GACGUGGAAGACUAGUGUUAUUCAUCUUUAAUAGGUUUAAAGGGUAAACUAGACGGUAUUUCGUAGUCCAAAAACAAUAGGUACAGAUUUACUAGAGUUAUAUGAGAGAAGGUGAGUAUUUAAGGUGGAGAGAUGAAAUUUUUUAAUACCUUAAGGACUGAUAAUGGCGAAAGCAACCUUCUAUGUAAUAACUGACGUUGAGGGACGAAGGCCUGGGUAGCCAACAGG
rnacentral:rRNA from 1 species